rnacentral:rRNA from 1 species
AACGCUGGCGGCACGCUUAACACAUGCAAGUCGAACGAAGAUGUUUCACCGUAGCUUGCUACACCGAGACAUUUUAGUGGCGGACGGGUGAGUAACACGUGAGCAAUCUGCCUUUCAGAGGGGGAUACCAGUUGGAAACGACUGUUAAUACCGCAUAACAUAUCGAGAUCGCAUGAUAUUGAUAUCAAAGAUUUAUCGCUGAAAGAUGAGCUCGCGUCUGAUUAGAUAGUUGGUGAGGUAACGGCUCACCAAGUCGACGAUCAGUAGCCGGACUGAGAGGUUGGACGGCCACAUUGGGACUGAGACACGGCCCAGACUCCUACGGGAGGCAGCAGUGGGGAAUAUUGCACAAUGGGCGCAAGCCUGAUGCAGCGAUGCCGCGUGAGGGAAGAAGGUUUUAGGAUUGUAAACCUCUGUCUUCAGGGACGAUAAUGACGGUACCUGAGGAGGAAGCUCCGGCUAACUACGUG